rfam:Gossypium hirsutum cultivar TM-1 chromosome 1, whole genome shotgun sequence
AACCCAUAAUGAGGGCACCUUCUCAAUAAGUCCUUGAAUCUCUUCCAUACAUCAUAUAAUGUCUCUAAAUCAAUUUAGGCAAAGGAAGAAAUGUCAUUCCUCAACUU